UACAGAGGGUGCAAGCGUUAAUCGGAAUUACUGGGCGUAAAGGGUGCGUAGGCGGUUAUGUAAGUUAGAUGUGAAAUCCCCGGGCUUAACCUGGGAACUGCAUUUAAUACUGUAUAGCUAGAGUAGAGUAGAGGGGAGUGGAAUUUCCGGUGUAGCGGUGAAAUGCGUAGAUAUCGGAAAGAACACCAGUGGCGAAGGCGGCUCCCUGGACUAAUACUGACGUUGAGGCACGAAAGCAUGGGUAGCAAACAGG
rnacentral:rRNA from 1 species